rnacentral:lncRNA from 1 species
GCUGCGCCCCGCCCCCCCGGGGAGGGAGGCUUCGUGGCCGCCAGGCGUCCGAGGACCGGUGGCUGUGGGUGAGCCGGGGCUUGGCGCUGCCCUGAAGAUCUGUUGGGGGCCCGGCCGCCUCUCUGCGCAGUUUUGGAGGGCGCCAGCCGACCCCGAACCCCAGCCCGCGGGUCCCCCGCGGCUUCGGCUAAUGAGCUCGCGGUCCUCUGGUGGAGCAGCCAAUGGAACCUCAGACCAACUCACCGCCCUGGGGUCCCUGGCCAGGGGCCAUGAGCCUUCUGGAACCCUCUCGGGUCCCCAGCCUGAUCAGAACACCCUCAGAACACAUCAGGUCUCCACACGAGCUCCGGUUAUAGCAGCCUGGAAGGUCUCCCAUCAUCGGGCUGGAGGACUGCAGUGGCAUCGACCGCCUGCGUCUCGUGGCCCUGGGCCCCCCCUCCUCGGGAAGGGAGCCGCGCCGACGCUCUCGUCAAAACAGACUCCGAUGUUCCUGCGCCCACUGGGCCGCUGGCUUGUGGUUGGUGGUGUUUCUGUGAGGCAACUCUUUGCCCUGCGCGUCCUCUGAAACCUGUCCUGGCAAAAAGUCCUGUUCUAGAGUCAGCACCUGCUUCUCCCGAGAAGUUGCACGGGGUUGAAAGGUGGGCCCUCACAUCCUACCCCAGGGCGGUCCCUUGGUUUAGGGACCAGAAGCUGAGUCCCUGAAGGCAGUGACUCCAGCCUGCAGUGGCCUCAGAGGACAGAGCCUAGCAGGCCAGCAGGGUCCUUGCUUCAUGCCCUGGCCUUGCCCUCCUCAGCCCCCGAGGCAGGGUGAGGCUGCCUGCAGGUGAAGGCUGUGUGGGGGGGGUUGUUAGAAGUUUCUCAUUUCUUUGGGGCCUUUGCAUUUUCAGGAUAGCCACUCCGGCAGCAGGGAGCCAGGUGCUGGGGCCAGGCCAGCAGGACUGGAGGUGGCUGUCCCUCCAGGUCGUGACCACAGUGGCACAGGGAUGGCUCUUCCUUUGGGGUCUGUGCUCUCUCUUGAUUUUUUUUUUCUUUUCAAAGAGUUUGUUUUGCAGAAUCUGUGUGGAAGGCUCUGCGGCCAUCCACGAUGGCAGAGCCAUGCUGUGCAAGGGAUGUGCUGCAAUGCCUGUCGUCUGUUCAUUACUUUUCUUUGUUUUUAUCUUUUUAGGGCGGCUUCUGCAGCAUAUGGAGGCUCCCAGGCUAGGGGUGGAAUCAGAGCUGUGGCUGCCGGCCUGCACCACAGCCACAGCAACGCUGAGUGAGGCCAGGGAUUGAACCCGUGUCCUCUUGGAUACUAGUCAGGUUCAUUUUGGCUGAGCCACGACAGGAACUGCCAUCCUUUCAUUUCUGCUUUGCUGUCCUUCCUGGGAGUGUCUGAGGGGCCCCCGAUGGGGAAGCGGCAGGCAGCGUGGGGCAGGUCCUGACUUGGGUCUUGGGGGUGAGGGGAGCUGCCUUGUGGGGUGGAGGGAGCACAGCCCCCCUCCCUGGCGGGGGAGGCUCUUUCCCCCCAGGUUGGGCGUCUCUUGUGGAGGAUCACGUCAGCCACUUCAUGGCUCUUAUUUUUGAACCCGAUAUAGAAAAGAAG